AUGUAUCAUUUCUCUGUGACUUCAACAUUUCUUCGCAUUAAGAAUCAAGAACGUUACUUAGACAAUACUCCAGAGAUGAACUCUGCUCCAGGCUUAGUAACUGUGGUACUCUUAAUGCUUGGACAAACUCAUGGAAACUCAGUGAAUCAGAUGGAAGGCCCAGUGACCCUCUCAGAAGGGGCUUUCCUGACGAUGGACUGUACUUACUCAACCACCGGGUACCCCACUCUUUUGUGGUAUGUUCAAUAUCCUGGAAAAGGUCCACAGCUCCUCCUGAGAGCCACGAAGGCUGGUGAGAAGGGAAGAAAUGACGGUUUUGAAGCCUUAUACAAUGAAGAAAGCACCUCCUUCCACUUGGAGAAAGCCUCUGUCCAAGAGUCAGACUCGGCUAUGUACUACUGUGUACUGGGUGACACAGUGACAGGAACUGCAGGGGGAGCUGAGCACAAACUGUGAGCAGCAACAAGGGGC